rnacentral:rRNA from 1 species
UACGAAGGGGGCUAGCGUCGCUCGGAAUUACUGGGCGUAAAGCGCACGUAGGCGGCUUUCUAAGUCGGGGGUGAAAUCCUGGAGCUCAACUCCAGAACUGCCUUCGAUACUGGAGAGCUCGAGUCCGGGAGAGGUGAGUGGAACUGCGAGUGUAGAGGUGAAAUUCGUAGAUAUUCGCAAGAACACCAGUGGCGAAGGCGGCUCACUGGCCCGAUACUGACGCUGAGGCACGAAAGCGUGGGGAGCAAACAGG